UACGGGGGAUGCAAGUGUUAUCCGGAAUAAUUGGGCGUAAAGCGUCUGUAGGUGGUUGACCAAGUCUGUUGUUAAAAAUCAGGGCUUAACCCUGAUCCGGCAACAGAAACUAGUAAACUUGAGUACGGUAGGGGCAGAGGGAAUUCUCGGUGUAGUGGUGAAAUACGUAGAUAUCGAGAAGAACACCAAUAGCGAAAGCACUCCGCUGGGCCGAAACUGACAUUGAGAGACGAAAAGCUAGGGGAGCAAAAGGG
rnacentral:rRNA from 1 species